UACAGAGGGUGCGAGCGUUAAUCGGAAUUAUUGGGCGUAAAGGGCGCGUAGGCGGUUAAUCAAGUGAGAGGUGAAAAGCCUGGGCUUAACCUAGGUCGGGCCUUUUAGACUGGUUAACUGGAGUGCAGUAGAGGGUGGUGGAAUUUCCGGUGUAGCGGUGAAAUGCGUAGAGAUCGGAAGGAACAUCAGUGGCGAAGGCGACCACCUGGACUGAGACUGACGCUGAGGCGCGAGAGCGUGGGUAGCAAACAGG
rnacentral:rRNA from 1 species